rnacentral:lncRNA from 1 species
GCAGAACGUUAUUUAGAAAUAAGGAUAACACAUCAUUAGGAAUAAAUCUUCUCAGUAAAUAAUUGUUUAUACGUUGCCUGUGAGCUCCUUGGGAGCAGGUAUUAUUUUUGCCUUUCCUUAUAUUCCCAGUGCUUAGAACAAUGCCUGACAUACAGUAAACACUUAAUAAAUGCUGGUUGACUUGAUCCCAGAAACUAAUAUGAACAGUUAGAAAUGUUUGAUAUAUUGUCAAUUGUUGAUAUUUUGCAUGCUUAGAACCCCUGAAUAACUGUCAGAUGUUCAAGUUAUAGUGGGGGGUGGGGGUGGGGAGGCUUCUCACAAUGGCAAGAAUGUGUUACAUACUUUUAUCAGGUGACAGCGUCUUUUGGAUUGAAUUUCAGAAUCAGUCAGAGGUGAAAAUAAGUGUGAGAACAAUUCCUAGACUCCUAGAUGAAAUCCAUCAAAGAUUCAAACUUGGUUUGAAGAUCUUGGACUGGGGCUGGGACAUGGAACUACAACUUGGACCUGAGACUCUGGAUCUUGGGCUGCUUCUGCUAAGACCACUCCUGGAUCUUCUCCCUUUGGAGCUUCAGCUUGGCAAUCUUUUAUGA